rnacentral:rRNA from 1 species
UGGGAAUCUGCCCUUGGGUUCGGGAUAACAGUUGGAAACGACUGCUAAUACCGGAUGAUGACUUCGGUCCAAAGAUUUAUUGCCCAGGGAUGAGCCCGCGUAGGAUUAGCUAGUUGGUGAGGUAAAGGCUCACCAAGGCGACGAUCCUUAGCUGGUCUGAGAGGAUGAUCAGCCACACUGGGACUGAGACACGGCCCAGACUCCUACGGGAGGCAG